GACGAACGCUGGCGGCGUGCUUAACACAUGCCAGUCGUACGGUAAGGCCCUUUCGGGGGUACACGAGUGGCGAACGGGUGAGUAACACGUGAGUAACCUGCCCACAACUUUGGGAUAACGCUAGGAAACUGGUGCUAAUACUGGAUAUGUGCUCCUGCUGCAUGGUGGGGGUUGGAAAGCUCCGGCGGUUGUGGAUGGACUCGCGGCCUAUCAGCUUGUUGGUGGGGUAGUGGCCUACCAAGGCGGCGACGGGUAGCCGGCCUGUGAGGGUGACCGGCCACAUUGGGACUGAGAUACGGCCCAGACUCCUACGGGAGGGAGCAGUGGGGAAGAUUGCCCAAUGGGCGCAAGCCUGGUGCAGCAACGCCGCGUGCGGGAUGACGGCCUUCGGGUUGUAAACCGCUUUCAGCAGGGACGAAGCUUUUUGUGACGGUACCUGCAGAAGAAGCACCGGCUAACUACGUG
rnacentral:rRNA from 1 species